AGAGUUUGAUCCUGGCUCAGGAUGAACGCUGGCGGCGUGCUUAACACAUGCAAGUCGAGCGAAGCACCUUGACGGAUUUCUUCGGAUUGAAGCCUUGGUGACUGAGCGGCGGACGGGUGAGUAACGCGUGGGUAACCUGCCUCAUACAGGGGGAUAACAGUUGGAAACGACUGCUAAUACCGCAUAAGCGCACAGUACCGCAUGGUACGGUGUGAAAAACUCCGGUGGUAUGAGAUGGACCCGCGUCUGAUUAGGUAGUUGGUGGGGUAACGGCCUACCAAGCCGACGAUCAGUAGCCGACCUGAGAGGGUGACCGGCCACAUUGGGACUGAGACACGGCCCAAACUCCUACGGGAGGCAGCAGUGGGGAAUAUUGCACAAUGGGGGAAACCCUGAUGCAGCGACGCCGCGUGAGCGAUGAAGUAUUUCGGUAUGUAAAGCUCUAUCAGCAGGGAAGAAAAUGACGGUACCUGACUAAGAAGCCCCGGCUAACUACGUGCCAGCAGCCGCGGU
rnacentral:rRNA from 1 species